UACGGAGGAUCCAAGCGUUAUCCGGAUUUAUUGGGUUUAAAGGGUGCGUAGGCGGACUGGUAAGUCAGCUGUGAAAGUUUGCGGCUUAACCGUAAAAUUGCAGUUGAUACUGUCAGUCUUGAGUGUGCAUGAGGUGGGCGGAAUUUGUGGUGUAGCGGUGAAAUGCUUAGAUAUCACGAGGAACUCCAAUUGCGAAGGCAGCUCACUGGGGCAUAACUGACGCUGAUGCACGAAGGUGUGGGUAUCAAACAGGAUUAGAUACCCUGGUAGUCCACACAGUAAACUAUGAAUACUCGCUGUUUGCGAUAUACAGUAAGCGGCCAAGCGAAAGCAUUAAGUAUUCCACCUGGGGAGUACGCCGGCAACGGUGAAACUCAAAGGAAUUGACGGGG
rnacentral:rRNA from 1 species